ensembl:lncRNA
CCCAGAGUGAGGGAGCGUCUACAAAACACCUGCCUCAAAAGUGUCACAGUCACGAAUGACAGGGAAAGACCAGGAAACCCACAGGCUGGGGAAGACUUCAGAGGCAUAAGAGCAGGAUGCGCUGUGGGUCCUGGGGGAGCGUGGACAUUCGUGGAUAAUGGUGAAAUCUGAAAGAAGUCUGUCAUUUCGGUGACAACAUUGUACUCAUGUUAAUUUCUCGGUUUUAAUAUUGUCCUUUGGGGAUGUGAGAUAAUAACAUCAGGGGAGCUCAUGUGAAGAGUUUAUGGACAAUCUCUAGUAUGUUUGCAUUCUUUUGUGUAAAUCUAAAAUUAUUUUAAGAUAAAAAGUGUUUUUGUUUUUGUUCUGCUUUUGUUCUACUCAGGAGGCAGAGGCAAGAGAAUUGCUUGAACCCAAGAGGUGGAGGUUUUGGUGAGCCAACACUGCCCCAUUGCCUGGGCAACAAGAGCGAAACUCCGUCUCAAAAAAAGAAAAAAAAAAAAAGCUUUCGUUAAAGCAUUUACAGUCCAUCACCUUAAGUGCAAGCACAUCGCUCGUAGCAUCGCUGAGAACUCCGCAAGGAUUAAAAACCAACAAAAAAGGAUGCAAAUGGCUUACCAGAAGAGAUUUACUAGUGGCGGGGGGAUUCAGUGAAUCCACUAUCUACUCUGAAAGAAAGAUGCUCUUCCAACCUCUCCUCUGUUGACUGAAAUCCACAGAUGUCGGAGCCAGCCCUCUGCAGUGCGGAUAUAGCCCCCAAAAUACAAAAUACUGGAGCCCCUGUGGUAAGGACGCUCAAGCAGUAGCCAUCAGAGAUGCUUUGAAUAAUCAACGUUCCACUAACACAGAAGUGGAGGUCCAGGAUGUCUUCUGUCUCUCGGCUGUUUACUUGAGAAACACCCAAAGCUGGCCCCUGCUGAGCUCGCAGGAAGACUUCACGUGUGGUAGGGCCCCUCUGUGCAGCCAAGGCCAACAGGUGAUGCUGCCACACAUUGUUAUCUUAUCCCUUGAUAACGAGAAGUAUUUGGAGAUGCGGAGAGCUCCAGCAUGGAUAGUGCAGGCUAAAGAGGCAGCUUAAAGAAGUGGUACCUGGGGACUGGCUCUGAGCCCCAAAGCCACGUGAGGUGAGAGCCUUUCACCAGGGGUGAGCCUGGUGACUCCACAGCUGUUAUGCCAGCAGAGGUCAAAGGGGGCAGUUCCUGAUUUGUCAACCAAUACCAUAUCCACAACAGCAGGAAAAAGGAAGUCCGUUUUUGUGAAGAAAAUGUAGACAAAGGGCAGCAAGAGGCUCCCAGCUCAGACAUUGGAAAGGAAUCAAAUAGGCCAUUUCUUUUUGUCUCCACUCUGUGUGUGCCCCGUCCCUCCCUUCUUUAGAUUCUCCAUACAUAGCUUGUCUUCCUAGACCUGAUCAGCUGGUCACAGCUAUAAGGUUGGCCAACAGAAUCUCUUCCCCCCCUCAACACAUGGAAAAUACCGAUCAGUAUUUUCUCUCUGAAAACCAUCUGCAUUAUAUCACUCUAUUGUUCAAGAACCAGUCUUGAGUCCUCACCGUCUUCUAAAAGUAUAAACUCUUUAGUCCAGUUCUCAAGAUCCUCCAUAAUCUAGUUUUACUGAUCU